GCUGAUGUAGUGGCUGUUCAGCAGGAAGCGUGCCAGGUCCUCCACACUAACAAACUGCCGACUCAGCACUUUCUGAGCCCACUCACACACCAGAUCACAGGCAGCAGAGCGAACCUCAUCCUCCCCGCUGGAGUUCUGCCCAAUUUGGAAGAGACGGCAUGUGAAUGAAUGGCUUCUUCCUCAGGCCACUAUAGCAGUAUGUGAGCAGGUGUUAAGGCAAAAAUGUUUUCUCAGUUUCUGCACAUUUUCAUUUUGAUAUGCAUGUGACAAAAAAAAAAGGUUUUAUAAAGUUAGCUUUAAAAAGCACACCAUUGGAAUGCUCCAAAAUAAAAAAGAAGUGCUCAUUGAAUGCAAA